rnacentral:lncRNA from 1 species
UAGGGUUCUGUGUGUUUUUAGGGUUUUUAUUUGUUUUUGGAUAGGGCCUGCCUUCCAGGGUGCUAGAGUACAGGUAGGCAUUCCCACACCCAGCUGCCAACAAACUUUAAUAAUUCAAACAAUGCACAAGGCAGUCUCUAAACAUGAUAGAAUUAAAGAAUCAAUAUCUUUAAGAUGUUCCCAAACAUCGUGAAACUAAGGAUACAUUGCUAGAUAACCCAACUGUCAAAGAAGAAUUCAAGAGAAAUUAGCAAGUAUUUUGGAUGCAAUGAAAAGAAGCUAGAUUUAAAGUAUUACUUGGAGGGAAAUUUAUAGCACUGAAAUGUCUAUAAUAAAAAGCUCAGAUAUAGAUGAACUCAGCAUCUAUUUUAAGAAACUAGAAAUUUGGAGGAUGUGGGCCAGAAAUCAGUUUCAGUGGGCAAGAGAAACUGGUUCAUGCCAUCUAUUCUGCAGCACGGUGACUGCAGUCAAUAACAAUGUAUUGAGGUAUUGAAAAAUGCUGAGAGUGUGCAUUUUAAGUGUUCUACCACAAAAAAUUGUGAGUGGAUGUUAUGGCUGUGUCUAGAUGCACCCCCAAAGCGUCAUGCAGUCUCAGAUGGGGCUUUUUCAGAGGUGGAUGAAUUAGAGUGUGAGAUUGAUUCAUGGUACAAUGCUAGACCCAAGGGCACUAGGGUUAAGGGUGUGAGUAUUGCCCACCCUAAAUUGUCUGAAUAAGGUGAAAGGGGCAGGCAGAUGCUGUUAAGGUCUCUAGUUGCUUUUGCUACCUUGUGGUGCCAUGAGAUGUUCUCCUCUGCCAUGCCCCUCUGCCAUGUGCCACUCUGCCUUGGAGCCAGCCAACUAUGGACUGAACCCUCUACGAACUGUAAGCUAAACAAACCUUUCUUCCUUUAACUUUGGGUGUCAAGUAUUUUGUCUCAGCAACAAGAGAAAAGUAAAACGAAGGGCUGAGGAUUUAGCUCAGUGGUUCCACCGCCUGCCAGAGUUCAAUCCCCCGGUUCCAAAAAAGAAGGAAAGAAAAGUAAUGAAGACAGUGAAGCAAUACUUAUCCUACUUAUCUUGAUUUAGCUAUUCCGCAAUGUAUACUGAUUUUGAAACAAGUUAUACAUUACAAAUUAUGCAAUUUUUGUCAAGCAAGUUAAUAAAUGAAGUUUUUUUCAGAAAGGAACUAGAAAAAGAAGAGCAAGUAAAACUAAGUAUGGAGGACAAGGAAGGAAAUAAUAAAGCUUUGAGUGGAAAUCAGUGAAAUAGAGAACAAAAAUAUAGAAGAAAAACAAUAAAAUCCAAAGACUUUUUUUCAGAAAAUCAAUAAAAAUGACAAAGUUCUAGUCAGACUGAUCAAGGAAAAAGGAAAGGAAACACAAGUCAUCUAUAUUAAGAAUGGGAGAUUCAGGGGCUGGGGAUUUAGCUCAGGGGCACCCGUGCCUGCCUCGAAAGCACAAGGUCCUGAGUUCAAUCCCCGGUAUGCCUCCCUCCACGAAAAAAAAAAGAAUGAGAGAUUGGACAUCACAAAUUCUAUGGCUAUGAAGAGAUAAUAAUGGAAUAUUAGGCACAACUCUAUACCAAUAAAUGUGACAAUGUAGACUGAAUGAGCAAAUCCUUAAAAGGCACAGUCUCCUAAAACUCACCCUAGAAGAGACAAAUAAUCUGAAUAGUCCUAUACCUAACAGAGACACUGGAAUUCUCAUCUAAAACUCCAACAAAGAAAACCCUGGGACUGGGGCGUUGGAGCAGGCGGGAAGAGAUCACAAAGGACACUCUGCCCUUUCGGGGUGAGGAGGGCCUGUCCACGACCCUGACUGGUGAGCAGUGGCUCAGGAGCACGUGUGUGUGGCAGCGAGUUGUGCACACUGCACGUGUGCUUUACGGCACCGCAGUGAACCUUCUGACUGGAGGGCCCAGGCCCUUCCCCGCCCUCCUCUCCCCUGCCUACAGCUCUCGGGACCCAAGCAGAGGCACAGCAGCCAGUCCCGAGGACACGGAGACAGCAAGGAGCCACCUGCUGGCCUGCAGCUUCCCUCUGACCACCCUCCGCUGGAAGCUAGAGGACGCAGUGGCCCUGGAGCCUGCCCAGCCCUCACCCAGACCAGGCUGCGCGGCCCUGCAUGGACUCAGACACAGGGCACUCCUGGGAGGGGCCGAGGCUCGGCUCCCCUGGGCAGGGAGGCACUGCCUGCCUCCCAAAGCCACAGGUGCAGGGUGGGCCCUCCUUUCCAAGCUCUUCUCCCUUGCCGCAAGCUGCUGCCGAAGACAGGCGCAGAUUCCAGCUCCUCCGUGUUCCAGCCUGGGCCUCUGCGUUGAGUGAGUCACCAACUGAGCAUACUGGCUGAGCAACUUUAAUGACGACCAGGAGAAUCGGGCUUCAGAGAGACAGGCUUUCCUCCCAUGGGAAAGGAGUUGGUCAGUGUCUGAGCGGGGAGAGUGAUGUGCACCAUGCGCUAGUCCAGGGUGAGGAGGCCCGUCCUCACAGCUCACCCAGCACUGAGGAGCUCCCCAACGUGAGACUUGCAGGGGAGCCUCGGCAGACAGCUGGCCAGUCAUCCAGGGCCGAGUAGGCUGAUGGUGUCCCGGCACCACGAAGAGGGGCAGAGGAAGCCAAGUACAGGACGUCGAAGCCUCCCCCAGUCACAUCUCCUAGGGGAGCUGAGUCGGUGGGGGCGGGGGAAGUGGACCCUGGCCAGGGUCUCCCUGACCCAAAGGAAUGGACAUGGGACCUUCCCCAUCUUCUGUCUGGAGAGACAGGGAGGCUGGGCGUGCAGCAGGAUGUGGUGCCCGGAAGUUCCAGUCAGCUGUCUGCUGAGUAGGGGCCGCCUGUCCUCCCAGCAGCCCCAGGGACCUCCAGGGCUUUCCAGUUUGCUUCACAGGGAUCCUCCAGGCCCCUCCCUACUGACAGUCCCACCGCUAGCUCUGCCCCAGACAAGCUCUCUGCAGCCCGUGCAGAGGAAGAUGAAGAGGAAGAGGAAGGUAUUCCCAAAGCACAAGGGACUCGCCAGUGUCACCUGCUUGUGGGUGGCAGGGCUGGGGUUUGUCCCACUGUGGGCUCAGCCCCCAGGACCAAGGCAGGGAGGGAAAGUGGGGUGAGGUCUUCUGCCUCUCUACAGCCCCCCCCCCCCAGCAGCAGCCCACAACCUCCAGCCCGGAAAGGGCGCACGCAGCAGGAGGAAGCCAGAGCCACUGGAAUGGGGUCCUUCAGUGUCUGGCCCAGCAGCCUGCUCCUGCCUGCACCCCAGAGGUGUCCUUCUCCCCAGCAAUGAGAAAGCUGGCGGCAAGAGCAGAGGGACCGGGCACUGGGGAGAGUCUGGGAUGCCCUCACAUUCCUGCUUGUCUGGGGAGGGAAGGGAAGGGAGAUUGGCUUGGGAGGGUCAGACCAGGGGGACGGCCCCGGGGGAAAAGCGCGACCGGUCGCAGGAACACAGGUUGCUGUGGAAUGUGUUUAUCUUCAUCACCCUAGAGUGUACAUGUCCGCACCAUCUGGAGAAGGGACACACCUGUGAACCCCACCCGAGCCCCUCGCCACGCCGGCCAGGUACAAGGACAACAUGGUGUGAGAUGAAAACUGCCACCAAGGGCCCACAGCAGCCUCAGGCAGCUGGGCUGCAUUGCUGCUGAGACCCCUGGGCACCAGACCACCUGGCAUGGGCUGUGCUGCCCACGGCCCCAAGCUCUGCAGCCAGCGCCUGAAAGGUGACCACAGUGGCACUGCCAGGCGAUGGGGCACCUCUCCCUCCAGCUGGUGGCCAGCACCAGGCUGCCAGCCUUCCCCAGAUUCUGCGUAUCAUCACGUGGGGUGCAGAGGAAGAAGGCAGUGGGAAAUGCCCUAGCAGGCCUCAAAGCCAGGCCUGUCCCCCUGCCCAGGUGGCCCACCAGCUCCCCACAACACUGGGCCAAGCUCCCAGAAUCCCGGAGGGUGCAGCUGGGCCAGCGGGCAGUCAGCACCACGCCCAGGAGGGCAGGACAUGGCUUGCUGGUGGUGAGGAUACAAUGGCCCUUUGCUGGGUGCCACCCAGGUCCACCUGGAGCCCUGCAUCAGUCUGUCCCAGGCCUCUCCCGUGGGAGCUUCCCACCUACCAGGGCAGCCGGCCAUCCCACGAGGGACUCCGGCCAUAUCUGGUCUGCAGGCCUGCGGGCUCCCAGUGUCUCCUCAGCCCACCUCUGGCCCUCGGUGGGGUCCUUCAACAGCACGCGCUGGCCCCCUGCCUCCCCUGGCCGCGCGCCCCGCAUCCUCGGCGACAGGAGUGGCUCCUCGGUGGAUCCCCAGUCCUCUCCGGAGCAGGAGGGCGCGGCCGUCCCCAGCUCUCAGGAGGCCCGGGGCGAGGAGCUUCCUUUACCCCGCUGGGAACCCAGCGGAGUUUCGACAGGGGUGGGGCCCCGGGAGGAGGGUGACGAGGGCAGGCGUCUCCAGGCCUGCGACGCUCCGGCGUAGGCGAUAAGGCGCCCCCGCCCCGCGGUUCCCACAGCCCGAGGGGCCACGCCCGCUGCGCUCUGCUGUGGCUCUGGCUCUCGGGCGGCGCGUCCCGGUGGCCUCUCUCCGGUGGCCUCUCUCUCCGGCGCGCCCCGCUCCGACCUUGUGAGCCGCGAGCCGCCGCGAGCCGCGAGGAGGACGUCUGGGGGCCGCUGUCGCCGCCGCCGGGCGCGCCGGGUCUAGUGGUCCUAAACAUUUCACAAUUGCGCUACAGAACUGUUGAACUGUUAAGAACCACUGGACCCAGCGGGCAAGUCGGCCGACCUCGGCUGGCGCUGUGGAGAGAAGCCUGUCCGCCCUUGGACCGCGUGCGUCGCGAGAGUCGGGGCGACCGCGCCUGCAGGGCCGGAGCGGCGCUGCACACACCGAGCGUCCCGC